AUUGAACGCUGGCGGCAGGCCUAACACAUGCAAGUCGAGCGGUAGAGAGGUGCUUGCACCUCUUGAGAGCGGCGGACGGGUGAGUAAAGCCUAGGAAUCUGCCUGGUAGUGGGGGAUAACGCUCGGAAACGGACGCUAAUACCGCAUACGUCCUACGGGAGAAAGCAGGGGACCUUCGGGCCUUGCGCUAUCAGAUGAGC
rnacentral:rRNA from 1 species